AGGUGUGUGUGUGUGUGUGUGUGUGUGUGUGUGUGUGUGUGUGUGUGUGUGUGUGUGUGUGUGUGUGUGUGUGUGUGUGUGUGAGAGAGAGAGAGAGAGAGAGAGAGAGAGAGAGAGAGAGAGAGAGAGAUUUGGUCAUCCUUUGCUCCUCCUGUUUGCGUCAGAGUCUCAGCGGUGCGGAAGCAUUUACUCAGAACAUCGCACACCUGUUAAUCCUCAGCGGCAAAAAAAAAAAAAAAAAAAAAAAAGAAGAAGUUGCAUGCUGCGUGAACUCCAGCAUGUCCUUCACUCCAUCCAUCCUCUUCUGUCUUCUGUUCCUGGAAAUUCAGACUUAACACAGAAAAGGCACAGCAGGAGCUCAUACAGUCAGAGGAAGCAAGUGUUUGGCUUCAUGUGCUCGGAUGAAACACAAUGGCAACUUCCUGUUUUCUUUCUACUCGAAAGAACUUCCCACAACAUCAGAUGCACGUAUAGUCACCAAUAAUAAAUAAAGAAGAAGAAGUGAAGUCUAGCCUUCACAAUGAGGAGCUUUGACUGACAACAGUAGGCAUGUACUAUUCACAGAGGAGUUGUUUAUACAUUCAAUGAAAGAUUAAAGGACUAUGAAGGAGGACAUAUAAUAACGUCAGCUUCUACUGACAGCAAAGCUUGAAGACCCCAGUGGAUUGUUUUACCUGUUUUUUUUUUUAUUAUUAUUAUUAUUAUUAUUAUUUAAAGCUUUGCGUUUAGAUAUUUAUUGCACAGUUUAGAUGAGAGAGGUGUAUCUAUGAAGUGUGAGUGUGCAGCGAUGGAGAAGCUCGGAGAAGAUGGCUUUGAGAGAUGUGAACAGUUUGGGGACUGGUCCAGCUCUGAACACUGGGAUGAGGAUCACAGGGACAGCAGUGGCUUUGGGGACUGGGCUAGUUUUAAAGACGGACUCAGUGAAGAGAGUGAUUCUGCAGACUUAUUGUCUCAGGAAGGACAGACUUCUGGCCAUGAACACAAGGUAGAGAGAGGUGAUGAGCCCUGGAUUGUGAUCCAUGAUUGCUUUCAUGUUGAGGAGAUUGUGAGAGAUACAGACAUGAUGGAAUUUCUGCCACUGUCACAGCUACUGCACAAUUCCACACACACCCCUCCUCCUCCAGCAGUACUAUUAAGAAAGGGUGCUAGCUUUUACCACAGUUUGCUGUGUGAGCCGAAGUCUUCAAGCGUAACGAGUCCUAAACCCAAUUUGCAUUCCCACAAGCAGCUCACUGAUGCACUACAGCUCAAACAAUCCAAUACUUCACAGGUUAUUCUAAGGCACUAGGGGGUGCAAGUGGAUUAAUUGAUGUAAGCAGCCAUUGGGUCAUUACAUUUGCAGAACACGGAUUUACUUCACCUUGGGUUUGAGAAGCCUCAAAGUUCCUCUGCUGCUCUCAUCCAAACUAAGCUAACAGCACCCACGUGGUGUCAGACUUCUCCUGGAUUCUUCUACCAGAUCUCUCACCGAUGGCUCAGCCAGAACAGUUUGAGACUACAGAAUAAUCAGGACAACAAAAAAGACCUGCUGUAAUGACAGUGAAACACUGACUACGUUUACAUGGACAGCAGUAAUCUAAUUAUUAUCUUACUCUGAGUAAGACAAUAUAGUGAUUAAGGUGUUUACAUGAGUCGCUUUUAGAAUACUCCUUACAUGUUCCCGUUUUACAUGUUAUAGAACGUAAUUAGAUUAACGGUACAUGCAUUAUGUCAUCGCGCCACGCCGUCCAACGUUCCCUCCAGAAUUUCACAUAUCAACAUAUAGUUCAUCUUCGUUAUGGUACCGUAUACAGUUUUGGGUGUUUUUAUAAAAAAAAAAUUUACGAACGCUUUAAGUGCAGUUAAUUAUUUGUCCUGCUAUAUGUGCAAGUAGACGACUGCUUGAAGCCGUGGGCUGCGUCCCAAACCGCGUACUUACCGUCUAUAUAGUAGCCGAGAUGCAUGUAUUUUUCCCCACUACAGGCCUAUAUUAAGCAAGUAUGCGGUUUGGGAAGCAGCUGUGCUCUCUUGUUCGCCGUGAAACGUUGAGCACUGCCGUGUGUGAUCAUGUCCUGUCGCAAAAUGCGGUGAAAACUCUCACACGACGUUAAUAGUGUGAUUAAGGUGUUUACAUAUCUGUAAUACACGUUGAUAAUGCGACUAAAACAGGAGUACUCCACAUGUCUUAAUUCCAUUAGUGUUUACUUUGAAUAUGACCUUAAUCAUAUUAAGGUAAUUAAAAAUUGCUGUUUACAUAGUAGUUUCUUAAUCACAGUAUUGUCUUAAUCGGAUUAAUAGUGGAUUAUUGCUGUCCAUGUAAACGCACUGACUGAUAAACUGUGCACAGAAUAACAUCAGUCUUUCUGAUAAUUGAGACAAUAAAAACAAGUGUACCAACACAGGAAAAUACUUUAUUGUUGAGCUUCACACAUUAGGUGUCUAUUCUGAAUGCAAAAUAAAUUCACUCUAUAUGUACAGGGACAUCUCAAAAAAUUAGAAUAUCGUGGAAAAGCAGGUCCGGACUGGCCAUCGGGAGCACCAGGAGAAUUCCCAGUGGCCUGACAACUGAUUUGGCCUGCUGCCCUGCUGUUUUUUUAUUUUUAAUUUAUUUUAUAUUAUUGCAUGUCCUAUGUACUUGAGUUUUGGACUUUGGCAUUUGAUAAUAAAUCGAAAUAAAUCACUACCAUUCUCCUCAGCUCCGGUGAACAGUUUUGAACAGAGUGCUCAAUGCACAGAGCGAGGAUGGAGAGGAAAGGGCCAGGUGGAGCAGAAAGAAAGCCCUCUGAAAAGAAGCAGCAAAAAUGUAACAAAAUUACUGACCUGUUCAGGGCUUCAAGUGCAGGUCAGUCUCCUCUGUAAAUAUUGUAGCUUUGUGUUCGCUAACUUAGCUAAAUAAGUAUUAACCAAAGGUGCACUACUCACAAAUGUUAGCACUAUUACUAUCGUCACUCAAAAUAUGCUAAAGGACAACAUUAUCUACUGAAUAGUUAUAAUACUAAGUAAUUUAGCAGACAAAUAUCCAAAUUUAUUAUUUUAAAUGUUGAAAUUACACAUACAGCUAGGGCAAGCAACAACAACAAACAUUUUUCCAAGCUAUGAGUCAUAAAAAGCAACAUUAUGCUCAGUAUUAGGAUUUUUCUAAAUAGACAUUUUCCUGAUGUAGUUAGUACUGCACUUAUUACAACACAUAUUUAGGCAAUUAAAAAAAUUGUCUUCAAAUAUGUGAGGUUGAAAAAAACAACAACAACUUUUUCUCCUAUUUUUCACAAUAAAGUGGUGAGAGUAAGCUUGCACUGGCUCAGUGAAAUGGUCACACUUGAGGGUUAACAUGAGAUGACUGGUAGAGGUAAAUAAAGAAAAAUUAAAUAUAAUUUAAUAUAUUUGUAUGAAAUAUAAUAUGGUUGAACCUCAGGUAUUUUAAGUAUUUUUAAGUCUCAAAAAAAAAACAUUGUCCUAAUGUGAUACAUUAACUUGAAAUGAUGUUAAUGAAAUUUAGAUUCUGUGCUCACAAAUUACAGUGAGGUUAAACAGUUUUCAUUUUCUAACAAUGUGGAGACAGUUCUAUUCAUAGCCUACAUUAAAAUGGCAAAACAAA